AGUGAACGCUGGCGGUAGGCCCAACACAUGCAAGUCGAACGGCAGCACAGUAAGAGCUUGCUCUUACGGGUGGCGAGUGGCGGACGGGUGAGGAAUACAUCGGAAUCUACUUUUUCGUGGGGGAUAACGUAGGGAAACUUACGCUAAUACCGCAUACGACCUACGGGUGAAAGCAGGGGAUCUUCGGACCUUGCGCGAUUGAAUGAGCCGAUGUCGGAUUAGCUAGUUGGCGGGGUAAAGGCCCACCAAGGCGACGAUCCGUAGCUGGUCUGAGAGGAUGAUCAGCCACACUGGAACUGAGACACGGUCCAGACUCCUACGGGAGGCAGCAGUGGGGAAUAUUGGACAAUGGGCGCAAGCCUGAUCCAGCCAUACCGCGUGGGUGAGGAAGGCCUUCGGGUUGUAAAGCCCUUUUGUUGGGAAAGAAAAGCAGCAGGUUAAUACCCCGCUGUUCUGACGGUACCCAAAGAAUAAGCACCGGCUAACUUCGUG
rnacentral:rRNA from 1 species